UACGGGGGUGGCAAGCGUUGUUCGGAAUUACUGGGCGUAAAGGGCUCGUAGGCGGCCAACUAAGUCAGACGUGAAAUCCCUCGGCUUAACCUGGGAACUGCGUCUGAUACUGGAUGGCUUGAGUUUGGGAGAGGGAUGCGGAAUUCCAGGUGUAGCGGUGAAAUGCGCAGAUAUCGGGAGGAACACCAAUGGCGAAGGCAGCUCGCUGGGACGGUACUGACGCUGAGACGCGAAGGCGAGGGGAGCAAACGGG
rnacentral:rRNA from 1 species